UGCCCGACUCCGUCGCCUAGGCCCCAGCCGCCGCGGCGCCUAUCCAGCGCAUUCUGCUCCUCGCCUCCUCGGCUCCUCCCGUGACUCCGAGAGGCUGUGUCGCCGGGCGCCAGCUCGCCGUGUGAGUGCCGAGUGCGUGACCGACCCGUGCUCCUUCUCGGCUGCUCCGCGCCUCCGCAGGGCGCCGGGCACCGGGCCGCCGGCUCUCCGCGUGAGUGCCGACCGCGUGACGCCGUGACCCGUGCUCCUGCUCGGCUACUCGCCUGCUCCGCGCCUUCGCACAGCCGGCUGCCGCCCAGGCGCACAGCCGAAGACGCCAGACGCCCUGCCCCCGUGUCUGGGUAUGUAUGGCCUCAUCGAUACAUCAGCUCAAAUAGGCAAAUUCAACAAUUGCUUGCUAAGUUUCGGUUCCGAACUUCCGAUGCGCGUGAUGGAUGCGUUGCUUCUCGUGGAUUUCACAUUACAGCUUGUCAGAAUGACGGAAAUGUGGCAUCCAUAUUUUGCUGAGAGCCCUACUGGUCAUAUCUGCUAGGAAAUACGCUAUAUGUGCUGGGGCAUAGUUCUGGAUUGUAGUUUUGGCUUUGAUAAUGUUGCUAUAUAUGGCGCGUGUGCUGUUUCAAUUAGAUUGUGGAUUCAAAUCUCUCUGCUGGGUUGCGUGAGUUCAGGUUGACAGGCUCUCUAUUUGCUCAAUUAUCGAAUUGGCACUUAUGUACUAUUGCAUUAUUCGGGGUUUGGCAUCAAUAGGUUGGGUUGGUUCUCCUUCAUGUGUCUCCCGAGCUGUGGAAUAUGGAAUUUACCAUUUAGGGGUUAGCCUGGGUUUGUAGUUUGGUUGUAUUGAUUUUGGUAAUAUAUUACCAUACUUUGAGUGUGAGCCACUUUUGGUGUUGUCACAAUUUGUAUUGCAUUUAGCUUAAUUCGAACCUUAAUUUUAUUGGAUUUGUGAUAUAGUGCUAGAAUAAGCACACCCUUCUCAAUUUUUCUGAAUCCGCCACUGGUGUUUUCAGUCCAAAUUUGUCAGUCAUGUAUAGUAGCAUGUACAGCUAGUCCAGAACUUGGUUAGUUUGAUUAGAAAACUAUUAUUCUUCCGUUUAGCAAAUUGGUCUUGUGAUAAUUCUUUACAGCCGUAGAAUACAAUUGUAGGAGCAAUGCAAACUGCUAGUUUAGUUGCUCCUUGGUCAAGAGCGUGCAAUGCAAUACGUCCUUGUGACCAAAAAAAAAAAAGAUCCUGAAGCAGUUAAUCCUACAGUCCUAAUAAAACCAGACAAACUUACCCUACUGCUACAAUGGUCAUGGUGGCGAUCAUAAUUUGAGUUGUAGCAUUUUGGUGUCCCAAUUUCUUCCUUGGUUGGGCAAGAAUUGUCUAGUAUUUUAUCAUGCCUAGGUCGCGCCGGUGCCACAAGGCAGCUGCCCUCUCUUGAACUUGAUUGCUCGGUCUACUGCAUGAAGUGAAUUAUUCACGUUCUGCUGCCCUUUCUAGAGGCAUGUACUGCCACAUGAUCCCCAUGGCUUCUGAAUCCAUGUACUGCUGCAGCAAAGCGAAUGAGUCGUCAAGAAUAAGUAUUAGCAAUUGACAUGAACUUGAUUAACAUGAUUUUCCUUGAUUUGGCAAUAGUUUAUUUUAUCCAUACUAUAAGCAUGUAGUUGUACAACAAUUGUCUUGCGUAGGUUUCUGUUGUCAAUGCCAUUUCAUGACCUUUUUAGGCUGUCCAUGUACUAUGUUCGAAUCAUGUUGUUUGGAGUCAUUUAUUUUAAUAAUUAAAUAGGCUGUGAUGUUUUAUUUUUCAAUUGAAGCUGAGCAUCAUGAACGGCGAAGAGUACGUUAGCCUGGAGGAAAUCGAGGAAUAUUACAGAAUGGUAUAUCAGACUUUUAGGUGGGACAAGGAUUUUUAUGCAUUCUACGACUCAUAUGUGCUCCAAAGGCUUCAGUGUCAUAAAGGACAAUGUGAGAAAGAAGCCAGGCACCAAUGUUGCACGCUUUUUCCAUGUGACAUGUACUUAUCAUGGCUCUUCGAUGGUAAAUGCUAGCUACCGUUGCCGAAUGCUGGAGUGCGAAGCCAUUCCAUGCGCACACAUUUUUACUGUUACAAGGUCUCUCCAUCUAGACACCAUUCCUGCUUGUUGCGUUAUGGUUAGGUGGAUGAUGCAAGCAAAGAGUGCAUUCCCAACAGAGAGAGUUACCAAUACGCACGUGUGGUCUGAAUCCGCAACAAGGGUAAUCGUGCUUUGUUCGAAGCUUCAAGGUCCGCGGAGGAUACAGAGCAGAUGAUGCAAUUCUUUGAUGCUAUUCUGGAUGAUGACGUAGAGAACCAGAGCACAGAGGGGACGUCCUUUGGGCCUUUGCCAGCACAGUUUUCAGGUGCGAACCGCCCCUCUACAAGCAGAGUCCUCAAUCCAAAGAAGAUUAUUUCGAAAGGUGCUCCUCCAACAAACAGAAGAUUGAGGUGAUUCAACGAAUCCUUGAGGAGGGAUUGACUUUCAAACUUGUGGUUCCAUCUCGAGCUCAACUGAAAGCUACCUGCACAACACUCCUUGGUUACUCGAAAUGCUAAUGGACCUGGAGCAGCUCAAGCUGACAAUUGUAUCAAAAGUGCUGCUCAAGCCCAUGAUAAAUUGGUCCAUUAGCGGGUUCAGUCUGCCAUUUCUAUGCAGUCGGCCAUGCCAUCUCACUGUGUGGUGCGGAUAGGGUCAAGGCAGAAGCUUCAACCUUUCUCAUCUACAAUAUCAAAGAAGUAACGAAGGAGGAAGGACAAUGCUUGCGAUCUUAUAUUUUGAUGUAGCUAAGAACUGAUAUGUGUUCUAGUUUGUGUGAUAGGAUUCAUGAAUGCUGUAAAUUUAAAUGGAAUUGUGGCCGGUAUAUUCUAGUUUCUCAUAUUGGGAUUCCUGGAAGGAGUAAGUUUGGAGU